GUCGCUGGGAUCACCCUACUGCCUAACAAGAGGGUGCUGUUGGCCGACUUGGCCGGGGACUGCCUUCGGCUGCACACUUACUGGUGAACGAAUAAAACGCGAAGAUGAGGAAGAAAGAAGUUUGACGCCGCCAGGCGUAUCGAAAUCGAAUUUGAUGCUAGUCCACUUUAGUAACGGAGUAUCGAAACACGGCCAUAACGGACUGCGCUCGGAGGUACCGCACCAAAGUCUUUAGUCGCCCUCGGGCCGCUAUAUUAUCAUUCGAUAAUCAUAGUACUUACAGUAUUUAUUUCGUAUUAAGUUUAGUUUUAAGCUUUUUUUAUUUUUUAGGUGCGCCAGUUUACUCGGCGUUUGUAUAUUUUUGACUUCGUUUGCUGACUGAUUUUGUUUUUCUAAAGAACUGUUGUUGGUUUGGAAUUGGUUGAUCUGUGGAACGUUGUUUAUGUCAGAGCAGUUUACAUUUCCCAAUAGGCGUGUGUCCGUCCAUUUCAGACUUGGAACAAACUUUAUUCUGCAAUUGUCUAUGGCAAAACUUAAAAUCUAUAGCUAGCGUAACACAAAGUUUUACAACUUGAUAUUCGAUUAAUAAAUCCAGUAAAUUGAUAAGAAACUAACCAUCGUCGAAAUCCUUUGACGCCAUAGUAGUAUGAAAAUGUAUGACUGACUCAAAUGAUAAAUCUGAGUUUAGAGUACCUACGUGAUGUUGAUUGCAUCUGACAUAAAUUACAUUCAAAAUCUUUUUUAUUAAUAAUGUUGAUAUCCAACAUUACUUUUUCCGAAUUAUUAUUGUUUAUUUUUACUUGAAAUUCGUACUGGUAACUUUAAAUAUCAUUUACAUUUAGACACCAUAGCGUAUUUUGUAUUGCUAUUUGAGCAAAUAAUACUGAGUCGGUACGGAUUUUACACGGCGUUUUAAGUGAUCAUGCUUUACUCUUCAUUAUCAUAAUAGUCAAACGUUUAAAUUACACUAAAAUUGGCGGUAUGUAUCGCUUUACUAGUCUUUCGACAGUGGCAUUUAUUUAUUUUGAAAUUUGUUUAUUAUUGUAUCUUUAUUAAAUUAAUCGAGAGAAUAAAUUAUAAUCUCAAUUAUUGAUGAAUAAGACUUCACGACAAUACUAAAAACUGGCCAAGAAAAACGAUCUACGCAUAGUUUUACCCUGUAAAAUAUCGCUCAUACGAUUUGAUACGUAAUGGUGUGAAUCGAUACAGUACUUCAUAUUCAGAGUUGUAUUUUUCAGGGCUAAAAUUUAAAUUGCCUUGAACUUUAAAUCCCAGUGAUAAUUUACUCUCUUCUUUUUAUUUUUUAAUCAACCCAUCAAGUAGGUAGAAACAUUUAAUAAAAUUAGUGAACGUUCUGCUUUUUGCGGUUCGGUUAAGAAUCCCUAAUAUUAAAUUUAAAUGCGUACGUAUCGCAUCGCUUGGUCGGUUGAACGCUAUUUUUCGCGUUAAGUAGUGAACUAGAUAUAGUCAUUUUGAAGCUCUCCAGUCGGUCUGUAAGUCACCUGAAUUAAUUUCACAACAUUAUUGUACUUAUACAUUUGUUAGCGUUUUUUAAAUCGAUGCAAGCGCUCGAUAUUAUCAUCAAUAUUGUGCCUGUCGCAAAAGUUUAAUUAAUAGUCAUCAUAUCUUUUUGUAUCAUGAUUAGUAUUUAUGAAACGAUUUUGUAUGUCGAAGUGAAAAUGUGUGCACAUUCACCUUUGUCGUAAUGCAUUUUUGUGGCACUGGGAUAGUCGUCUUCCUUUUAAUAUCAGUCAUGCAAUAAAACUUAAAAGGCCAUAUUAACUCCUAAAAUUGACGAAAAACUACAUUCGAAUAUGUUUUAAUACAAGUUAAUAAACCAAAAUUUAUUACUAAAUACCCAGGCUCGAAUACGUAUGUACCUACUUGAGUUUAAACACAGUUUUGAGGGCCAUACGGGUGUCAAAAUCUUUUUAGAUGCUGGCAAUCGUGUUGCCUAAGAAUUGUCGGCAUUUAGUAUUGACCUAACCUUACUUCCACCAGUCAAACGUUUCUGAUAAGGAAACCUUUUUGCAUAACCCAAUUAUGAAGCUCUGCUAAUCGGUCGACGAAACACUUUUUUGUACCACUCGUAACAAUCAUUAAGUCCUUGUUCACGCUUCAAUGCGUUUCAAUUUAUAGGAAGUUAAUGAAGAUCAUACAAUAAAUCCAUUUCAUUAUACAAAAAAAAACUUGCUUAUUUACUAUAACCGAAGCAAAUCUCAAUCACUCACUAUACAGGGUGGUAAACUUUUCAUCGGCAGUAUUUGAAAUUCAUCCGCUACUUCGCAGACACAGAAGAGAUGAUUUGAAUAAAAUUAUAGUAUUGAGACUUAUAAAGCCUUUUAAAAUAUCAACUUAAUGGGAUUUUUUUAAAAUAUUUUAAUAUGGUCUUGGAUAAAAAUAAUUUCCACCCUGUAUAACCGCGUAAUCUCUGUAACGUUACUCUAACCUGUUUAAUGAAGAAUGGCAUAACUAAUAAUGUUGAAUAUUUAUUCACUGUUAUCAACUCAAACGAUAGUUUAAUGAACAAAUUAAUAAUAAGUCUGUCGUUUAUUUUAUGAUAAUAAUUAUUGUACUUAUCCAAGCUAAUAUUUAAUGCGUAAGUAACUCAGUCUGUCUAUUAUGUUUCUCCGCCUAUGAUGCUGAAACAAUUUAGAUACAUUUUGGCAUAGAAGUAUAGAUAGACUACCUUGUUGUCAUCAGUUUCUCACAGUUUGGAAUAGAAAAAUAUAAGAAGAAUAGUUUUGAAUUUAUGACCGUAUUUUUGCCUUAUUGUUGUUUUUCAGAAUGUGUUGGAUGUUUUUUUUUUUCGAUAUCACACAUAAUUACUUACAAUAACCCCUAUUUACAUUUCCCAGUGACUCCUAAAAUAAUUUAAACCCAGUAGCUCUAGUUAGAACUUGUAUGUGACACGUUACGUGCAACAAAAAAUCUAAGUAUAGCCUGACCAGGAACAUAAAAACCCUCGCCAUGUUGCGGAAAACUAAUGGUACUAAUUUCUUUUAAUGGAAACAGUAACUGAAAACUUCAUUGACAUGUCACCUUGCAUGUCAGUCUAUUGCUGUCAAAGUGUAAACAAACUUUAUUUUAAAUGUGCGCAAUUGGUUUUAUGAAUUAAAUUGCUAAAAUAUUUUUAUAGUCGUGAAAGAAAAGUGGUUCACAAUGUGUUAAAGUAUUUGUCGAAGAGAAAUACUAAGGGUUCGGACAAUAUUUUCAUUGAAUAAUGUUUCCGACAAAGGUUGUCAAAUUGACUGACAUGUUUAUCGUAUAGUACAGUCCACUAUGAAAAUUAGCUGGGGUUUGUUUCAACUACCUAUUUUAAAAAAUUUUGUCACUUUCUAAGUGUUGAAUUUUAUGGGAUUGGGAAAGAAGUACCGAGUUUGAAGCGUUCAUCAGCAGACAUUGCAGUUGAAUAUUCAAGUUCUGAAUUUGAUUAUUGAUGAAUAAUAAAAUAAAUUCUACUAGCUCGAUUGAUGGUUUCAUUUAAUUUAUUUAAAUCAGGUUACCUAUAAUAAUAUUUUUUCGUUAAUUUAUGAAAAUAUCAAAUUAGCCCGUAAUCCUGAAUCCUGAUACAUAAAGUUAGUUUAUUAAUUUAACACAGGUACGACUGUACUCAGUGUUGCACUAUCAAAUGCAAUUGACGCGCCUCUAUGCCAGGGUUUUUAUGUUCCUGGUCAGGCUAUA